UGAACGGAAGCCUAGUGGACAUGGCAUCUGCCUGGUAAGCGGAACACUGUGGGUUUGAUUCCCAUCCCUGGGCACUUUUAU
rnacentral:tRNA from 1 species